rnacentral:rRNA from 1 species
AGCGAACGCUGGCGGCGUGCCUAACACAUGCAAGUCGAACGUGAAAAGGGAAACCUGAGUACAGUGGCGUACGGGUGAGUAACGCGUAGGUCAUCUACCCCAGAAUCUGGAAUAACCUGCCGAAAGGCGGGCUAAUACUGGAUAGAGCGAGGGAACUCGUAAGAGAGUUUUUCGGGAAAGGGAGCCCGCAAGGGCCUUUGUUCUGGGAUGAGCCUGCGUCUCAUUAGCUAGUUGGUAAGGUAACGGCUUACCAAGGCGAUGAUGAGUAGCUGGUCUGAGAGGAGGAACCGCCACACUGGAACUGGAACACGGUCCAGAAUCCUACGGGAGGGAGCCGGGGGGAAUCCUGCGGAAUGGACGAAAGUCCGAAGCAGGCACGCCGCGGGAGUGGAGAAGGCCUUCGGGUUGUAAAGCUCCGUCGGAUGGGACGAACAUAAUCAUAGUGAAUAGCUAUGAGGACUGACGGUACCAAAAAAGGAAGCACCGGCUAACUACGUG